CACACAUUUCAAAAGUACACAGAAAAUAUACCUACACAAUAAAAAAUGUAUAUUUAAAUAAGGUUUCUCAAUUUUUAAAACAUUAAUUAGCAUCUUGUACUCCCUGUAGAUAAUACAAUUAGCAAAUUUACUACAUGUUUUAAGGGGUCUAGAUUUAUUUUUUUGGAUUACUUUUGGUUUAUUUGUUCUCUUAUAUAGAAAAUUGGUAGUAUUUUAAUGUAAAUUAGUUUUAAAAGCAUAACUUUGAGAGUUUUUUUUGGUAACAUUCUUUCCGAUUCAAGCAUUUUUGUCAAUAUUACCGUCCCUGCAAAUAUACGAGAAGAAAUGAGUGUGUAUAGCAAUAACAAUAACUAGUGUUACUAUAAGAGUGAGAGAGUUCCCUUUCCUUUAGAAUAAAUAAAGUCCAGUGACGACUCUGUAUGUAUUUCGAUCUUUCCUUACACUCGGGUAUUUUUCGCAGUGCAAAAAUGAGCAUUGAGUGAACUUGAAGUAAAUUUUAAGCAUUUAGCUUGAUGAACUUCCCAAAUAAAUCUUGAAUCUAGAUGAUUUUAUGUCUUGAUGAAAAAAGAGAAAAAUUACAUUCACGAAAUUUAACAAUUAAGCUGAAUUAGUAAACAAAACUUACAUUCUUGUUGCAAAAGUGGUGAGGAAGUUAUGAAAAUAUGAGGAAGUUGUGAAAAUGAAAGGAGAAAAGGGUGGGGAGGAAGACGAAACAGAGAGGGAAGAACACAAAAUAUGGACAGAAAAAAUGAGUCCAUGAGGAGUGUGGGG
rnacentral:lncRNA from 1 species